AAAGAAUUAGUUAAUUAAUAACAUUAAUUUGUCAAAUUAAAAUUAUCUAAUAGAUAUUCUUUA
rnacentral:tRNA from 1 species